CGAACCGGGGCGGCUGGAGUUGAACUUCUACUAUGAUCAUACCAAGCGCCACACAUUCGAGAAGGAUGGCUUCGAGAUCGAUCGCAUUGUCGGAUUGAGGGUGCAUUUCGAUGACAUUGAACCAGGUGCAGUGCUCAUGCUUGACGGUGAUACGGCUAUGCUGCCUCAUUUCUUAUUCUUCGUCUCGUUUUUGUGUAUCGAAGGAUGCAAACUUCUGCUGUUGGAUGACGCAUUUGCAAAUGUUACCCCAGAGGAGCAGCGGGAUGCAGUGAAACUAUUGGAGGCGAUGUCGAAUCGUAUGCAAAUCUUUGCCGUGGUUGGAUCGGAUGAGUAGUGUUAUUUAUUUUUUUGUUUUUUCACACUUCUUGACAUAUUUUUAUAUUUAAUUUAUUGCUAUUUAAG